rnacentral:rRNA from 1 species
UACAGAGGUGGCAAGCGUUGUUCGGAAUUACUGGGCGUAAAGGGCGCGUAGGUGGCCUACUAAGUCAGACGUGAAAUCCCCCGGCUUAACCUGGGAACUGCGUCUGAUACUGGAAGGCUUGAGGAUGGGAGAGGGAUGUAGAAUUCCAGGUGUAGCGGUGAAAUGCGUAGAUAUCUGGAGGAAUACCGGUGGCGAAGGCGGCAUCCUGGACCAUUACUGACGCUGAGACGCGAAAGCGUGGGGAGCGAACAGG